UUAGGGAUAUUCGUCAAUGGGGGAAACCCUGAACGAGCAAUGCCGCGUGAAGGAAGAAGGUCCUAUGGAUUGUAAACUUCUGUUGUAAGGGAAGAAAGAGUAGAAGAGGAAAUGCUUCUAAAGUGACAGUACCUUACGAGAAAGCUCCGGCUAACUACGUGCCAGCAGCCGCGGUAAUACGUAGGGAGCGAGCGUUAUCCGGAUUUAUUGGGUGUAAAGGGUGCGUAGGCGGUAAUACAGGUCUGCGGUAUAAGUCCGAAGCUUAACUUCGGUUCGCCGCAGAAACCGUAUAACUAGAGUAUGGUAGAGGCAAGUGGAAUUUCUAGUGUAGCGGUAAAAUGCGUAGAUAUUAGAAGGAACACCAGUGGCGAAGGCGACUUGCUGGGCCAAAACUGACGCUGAGGCACGAAAGCGUGGGGAGCGAAUAGG
rnacentral:rRNA from 1 species